CAGAUCCCUUCAGUUAGCAGAGGGAUUCAAGAUAACAGGAAAUCCAAAUAGGAAUAGAAGCACUGAAUAAGAAGAGCAGAACACUGGACACUUCACAUUGACCUUAACAUGGAGAACAGACACUUUUAAAAGUGAUACUUGAUCCACAGGACAUCAGAAAGGAAUGCUCCUAUCCUCCUGUCAGCAUCCUCUGUGCUGGCUGCCUACAGAUGUCGGCCAUCUGCCUGUCACAUGCGCACAGUGAAUGGGAGGCUGCAGCCACAGUGCCCUGAAUUUGGCAGCCCUGCUGCUGCCAGCAGAAAGCUGCAAACAGUGA
ensembl:lncRNA